rnacentral:rRNA from 1 species
AUUGAACGCUGGCGGCAUGCCUUACACAUGCAAGUCGAACGGCAGCAUGAUCUAGCUUGCUAGAUUGAUGGCGAGUGGCGAACGGGUGAGUAAUACAUCGGAACGAGCCCUGUAGUGGGGGAUAACUAGUCGAAAGAUUAGCUAAUACCGCAUACGACCUGAGGGUGAAAGUGGGGGACCGCAAGGCCUCAUGCUAUAGGAGCGGCCGAUGUCUGAUUAGCUAGUUGGUGAGGUAAAGGCUCACCAAGGCGACGAUCAGUAGCUGGUCUGAGAGGACGAUCAGCCACACUGGGACUGAGACACGGCCCAGACUCCUACGGGAGGCAGCAGUGGGGAAUUUUGGACAAUGGGCGAAAGCCUGAUCCAGCAAUGCCGCGUGUGUGAAGAAGGCCUUCGGGUUGUAAAGCACUUUUGUCCGGAAAGAAAUGGCUCUGGUUAAUACCUGGGGUCGAUGACGGUACCGGAAGAAUAAGGACCGGCUAACUACGUG